UACGUAGGUGGCAAGCGUUGUCCGGAUUUACUGGGCGUAAAGGAUGCGUAGGCGGACAUUUAAGUCAGAUGUGAAAUACCCGAGCUUAACUUGGGUGCUGCAUUUGAAACUGGGUGUCUAGAGUGCAGGAGAGGUAAGUGGAAUUCCUAGUGUAGCGGUGAAAUGCGUAGAGAUUAGGAAGAACACCAGUGGCGAAGGCGACUUACUGGACUGUAACUGACGCUGAGGCAUGAAAGCCAGGGGAGCGAACGGG
rnacentral:rRNA from 1 species